rnacentral:rRNA from 1 species
CCCUUGAGGAGUGGCUUCCGGAGCUAACGCGUUAAGUCGACCGCCUGGGGAGUACGGCCGCAAGGUUAAAACUCAAAUGAAUUGACGGGGGCCCGCACAAGCGGUGGAGCAUGUGGUUUAAUUCGAUGCAACGCGAAGAACCUUACCUACUCUUGACAUCCACGGAACUUAGCAGAGAUGCUUUGGUGCCUUCGGGAACCGUGAGACAGGUGCUGCAUGGCUGUCGUCAGCUCGUGUUGUGAAAUGUUGGGUUAAGUCCCGCAACGAGCGCAACCCUUAUCCUUUGUUGCCAGCGGUUCGGCCGGGAACUCAAAGGAGACUGCCAGUGAUAAACUGGAGGAAGGUGGGGAUGACGUCAAGUCAUCAUGGCCCUUACGAGUAGGGCUACACACGUGCUACAAUGGCGCAUACAAAGAGAAGCGAACUCGCGAGAGCAAGCGGACCUCAUAAA